UAGUUUAACAAACCAACUGCUAGUACUAUUAGUGUACAGCAGUGUGAACAAAUCCAGACACUGUUUCAAGCCACUGUUUACUUUUGUUUACCAUUGUUAAUCUAUUUUUCAGAAGUGAAAAAACAUUUUAUGCAGCAAGUCGUGCGGGUUGAAAGGUAUGUUUGCUGAGCGGUAUGUGUGUUUAAGGUCUAUAGGCCAGGAUGCAGUUUGCAUGCGUGGGCUCAAGUCCGGAAUGCCAGAGCGGGUGCACUCUCAGUGGAGUGAGGCAAAAGGCAGGUAAUGUGCUGACUGUGGAACAGGAUGGAUAAUCUCACACCAGACCCCAGGAAACACAUCAGGCAUUCAUAGGGCAGGAGUCACCUGAGGUAUUUAUUUCCAGUUCCGUCAUCUCCUUCCACCGGUUGCUUGGUUGUUCCCCCAUCUGGCGUGGAGCAGCCUUAACUGAACAGACCUCAAGUCGCAGCAAUAACAAGGGGGAAGAUUUGCAUUUGAAAAUUUCUCAGAGAUGGAGUGUGCAUAUUUACUGUUACAUCUCACAGCCCGCCCACAUGUGAUUGGUUCCUGCUGACGCAAUGGCCAAUCAUCAAGCAUCCAGUCACGCUCAGAGCCAAGGGGCAGACAGGUCUUUGGGUUUAACCAGUCAAAAUACCAACAAGUUCUCUCUGGAUGGGCCGUGAGGUGUAUGAGGGGAGCCGCCGUCGCGACUUUCCUCCUCUCUGGAGACGGAGCACAAGUCACGGCGCACGCUGCCAACAGAAGAUUGAGAGCAACCACAGUUUCUCCAAUAUUAAAAAAACAAGCUAAACGAACAAAAGGAAGCAAAAGAAAAAACGAAAAGAAGAAAGCCCGCAGCAGGCAGUCGAGCGCGCUAUGCAAUCAUGGUGAACAUUUUCUGUGGAUGUUAUGGAAAACUGUCCGCUGCUUAGCGUCUUUCCACCAUGAUAGCUAAAUCCUACACUGCAUUCAUUCUGAUGAAUUACCCAUGAGUCUUCAGGCUUCAACCAUGAGAGGCGUGUUAGAUGGUCCACCCGCUGAGGCAUGGAAAACAUCUGAAUCUACCGAUCGCAUGAGCCAUUUCCUAUCAGAGCCAGCCUGAUCACAGACUUCACCUAAUUGGUGGCAUCCAUUACAGCUCUGCUCAUUGGGCGGCAUCCAUUAUGGCUCUGCUUACAGUCACAGUUUCUACCCCCAUCAUUCAACCUGCCAUGUCGGUGUGUGGUCACAAGGAUGAUGAAAAGCUGUGCCUUUGGGCAAUCACACAGGCCUGUCAGGAGUAAGGGAUAAAGGGCCGGUCACCCUUAAUGUGCACAGAUUCAUUAAAGAAAGAACCCCCCUCCAA